rnacentral:lncRNA from 1 species
GGCCCUGUGGGCAAAGCAUAGUAAAACAAAUACUUGGUGAUGAAAAUGUUGGGAACCACAAGUCCAUGCUAAUCAUUUGGCGAUUAGUCAUCUUUCUAUACUGCUGCUGCUUUAGUGAGUAUUUAUUAUUUAUUUAUGAUUUAUACCCUAUCUUUUUUGGAAAGAAUUUAAAGCGUCUCAUGCUAAAUUGGAGUUCCUGUUGUGGCACAAUGGGAUUGGUGGCGUCUUGGGAGCACUGGGACUCAGGUUUGAUCUCCUGGCCUGGCACAGUGGGUUAGGGAUUCAGUGUUGCUGCAGCUGCAGCUUAGGCCACAGCCGUGGCUAGGAUCUGAUCCCUGGCCCCAGAACUCUGCAUGCCUCGGAGCCCCCCAAAAAGAAAAAAAAUAAUAAAGUGUUUCAUGCUAGCUAACAACUGUUCUUUCAAUAUUUUAGUUACUUCCUCACCUGUCCAAUGAGAUUUUAGGCUCCUUAAGGAAAAGAAGCACCAGUCUUAGGUAUCAUUCUGUUUUUCUAACAGGCACAGAGUAAGUAGUUUCCCCUUGUCCUACUCAUUGACCAAUAGAUUGUUGGUAGAAUUAUCUAGUCAGAUUCACUGGUUGCCCUCAUUCAGCAAAUACUUACUGAAAGCAUACCAUGUGUCAAUGACUGUACCUAAUGUCAAGUGUAAUUCGGCAGAGGGAAUACACAUAAAAGGAGUAGGAAGAGAGUGUUCAAGGAAAAGGGAACAGUUUAUGCAAAAGCUCUAAAGAGGGAAAGAACUGGGCUGGUCCCAGGAACUGAAGGGACAAGAGAUUUGAGCUCUGUGGGCAAAGGAGAGGAUAGAACAAGAUGAGUUUGGAGAGGCUAGCAAAAGCCAAAUCAUGCAUGACCUUGCAAGUCAUAGUAAGAAGCUCUUAAAAUGUGACUUUCUGAUUAUUUGGGUGAAGAAAUUGUGUUUGGGCUGAGGGUGGUGAGAAGAUUAUCAUAGAUAUCAGCAUAGAAGCCAGGUAUUGGCUUAGACCAGAGUGGUAGAAGAGGAAUAAAGAAAAGUAUGUUUGAGAUACAUGGGGGUUACAGAUGGCUUAGAUGUAGGAGAUGAGGGGAAAGGAGAGGUUUCUGGCUUGCACAACUGCAUGAAGUUGAAUGCAUUUACUGAGUUGGUAAGACUGGGGGAGAACAAGUUGAGCUGGGAGAUUUUUAAAGAGAAUCAAGUUUGGGGCUGUGUUAUAUUUGAGAUGCCCGAGACAUAUCGAGCGAGAGAGAUGGCAAGUUAGUAAUUAUGUUUACAAGUCUGGAGUUUACUGGCUUUAUGGUUGAUCACCAUAUAUUAGGGUAUUUAAAGAUUUGUUAGCAAAACCCCACAUUUUAGAGAUGGAAGAGGAGGGUGGAAGAAGAUAGAGAAGGAAUAGGGAGAGGAAGUAGAAAGGAAAUGAGGAUGUGUACCAUACCUGAGGUCAAGAGAGGAACAAGGUCAGCUGAGAAGUGUGCAGCUUGAAGCUGCUCAGGAGUGAGUGUGAGAGAAUGAUUGAACAACACCAAGGUCAUGGGAGGCCUUAACCAGCUAGUUUGGACAGCAUGACAGAGACAGUACAAGCAGACAACCCUUUGGGAGAUUAAGAGAGUAUGUUAAAAAGGAAAUUACAGAGGAGGAGGCAGAUUCAAGGAAGGGAGAUGGGCCUGAGAUGAACCAAGUUUUAGGCAUGCUGAGCUUCAGGUAGCUGCAGAGUAUCCGGGUAUAGACAUCUUACAGAAGGUCGGAGUAGGACCUCAGAGAGCACUUUGGAAACAUGUGUGUGAUGCCAGAGCUGGGACAGGGAUCUCCGGCCCAAGUGCUUUUAACACAGCCCAGCUCCUCAUUCAAGGUCCUGAUGUAAAAGAGGAAACUUGGCAUCUAACCUCUCUUCUGGACAUAAUACUUGAACUACUCACCUCAGCUAGCAACCACUGACUCCAUCCUCUCUCUGGAAUCUACAAACCACCUUAAUCCUUUCUAUGGCCCUUUGGUUUCUUUCCUGUAAGCUAAAUUUCUAGAAGUAGCGUUUCUGGGCCACAAGAUACAUCUUAAUCCAACAUGUCAGAGGCAGUGGUACACCUUCAUAGGGACCGUGGAAGGUUGGAGGAAGCUGAAUGAGGCAUGCUGGCUCACUGUUCCUGCUCUAAGUGGUACCUUACUUCUGCUUGGUUUCUGUAGCCUUUGCUAGGUAAAUCAGGACCUUAAUCUUUCCUGGGGUCAGUUAGUGUGGUCUCUUGAGCCAUUCUGUGGCCCAGGAAUUUCUUUCAGUAUUGAAAAGAAGAGACUGGCUAUGAAAAUUAGAGGAGGUGGGAGGACUUUUUGGAAGUGGAACCCAUUUUGUGUGCCUGCUGAGAAGUUUUCUCAGCAUGUUGAUGAGGACUGUUUUAAGAUUCCUCAUGGGAAUGCUUUCUUGUGAGAGUAGCGUAUAGGUAUAUUUUACAGGCUGCUUUUCCUUUUUUUCAAAAUAACUUUAACAUACACCUACUUAAAUGAGCUACUUGUCUUAUAUGAGCUGACUCAUUUGUCAAUAAUAAAUGCAGAAGCCAGUGUGGGGGCUGACUAUUCCAUCAGGAACACAAAGUGUAUUGUAUUUCAGCCAAGCAUGUCAAGCAGUGAACUUUUCCUUGUUCUUAGGACAUCAAUUGCUUUACCCAUGGUUUCUCAGUGUCCUGAGAGAAACUAUAAGAUCAGUGCAAAGGGAACAGAGACACAGAGACACAGUAUGGGCAGAAUAUAAUAGAGAUGAUUUAUAAUAUCUCAAGAAAGAAUUAUCUCAUUGAUUAGUUAUUGUGUUAGUUUCCUAGGACUGCCAUAACUAAGUACCACAAAUGCGUGGCUUAAAACAGCAAAAAUGUAUUAUUGUCUCGCAGUUUUGAAGACUAGGAGCCCAAAAUCAAGGUGUCAGCCGGGUCAUGCCUUCUUAUGAAGCCUGCAGGAAAAGUCGCCUUUGCUUCUUUCUAGCUUCUGGUGUUGCCCAGCAACCUUUGGUGUUUGUUGGUUUACAGCUGUGAACUCUAGUCUCUGCCUUCAUCAUUGUGUGGCAUUCUGUGUGUGCCUGUGGCUGCCAUCUUUUAAGGACACCAAUUGUAUUGGAUUAGGACCCUCCCUACUCCAGUGUGAUUUCAUCCUAACUAAUUACAUCUAUUUCUAAAUUUUCGUGACUCUAUUUCCAAUUAAGUUUACAGCCUAAAGGACUAAGGAUAUGGACUUCGACUUAUCUUUUUUUGAGGAGACAUAAUUCAGCCCAUUACACUCAUUUUCAUAGGAAUUUUCAUAGAAAGGAAGGGGGAGGGAAGGAGGGAAAAAAGCGAUAAUCGGGGAUAAUGGGUUAGAAGGCUAGUUGUCCCCAUUAUUGUUUCCAGACUAAUCCUUCCCUACCCUCUUAUAACAAAAAAUUGCUUCCAGGGGCCCCUGUUAAUUGGUUAAACUACCCUCUCUUCCUUUCUUCUGGUAUAUAUUUGUAUAUACCAAACAGUCUUCUAUUCUUUCCACUAAAUAUUGGGCAGUGGUUCUCAAACCCUGUUGUAUAUUCCUGAUCACCUGGGAACUUGGUAAAAAUAAACAGAAGUCCAAGCCCUGUCCUACUUCAACAAGACUGUCUUUGUAUCUUCAAUGGCUCCUAGAGUUUCAGAACCACUGGCAUGUGGCUUGCAGUCUCUCUACCCCAACCUUUGCCAACGUGGUAGAUAUGCCGUCAUCCUCAAAGAUGACUCAGACAACACCAGAUCCUUCAUAUCUUGACCUCUUCACCCUCAGUAACCUUCCACCCCACUCCGUCAGAGUCAGCCCCUCCCACAGCCAACACUCUGGACCUUGUCAGCAUUAUUUCACUAAUGUGGGAAAGCAAUGUCCCUUGCCUCCUACUGGCUUCCUACAAUUCCUUCUUCAGCCCCUGGCCAUCUGGUGGCCACUCCCUUCAGGCAGUCUUGAAAUAUGAGAUAGCUCCAGACUGGAUCUUCUCACAGGCCCACAUGUGGCCCAGUAGAAAUACUCACCCACUCCUGCCCCACUGCUGGGAGAUGUGCAGCUUGCUUCUAAUGCAGACUUCCUCCACCUGCACCGUCCCAUUUGGUCAGAGCUUCACUUAGACUUUUCAAACCUCAGGAGGCACAUUUGAAGCUCUUCAAGUUGUUUCCUUAAAGUAUCUCACUUGGUUUAAAAAGAGAAUAGAACAAUUCCCUUUACCUUGGAGAGAGAGGAAGAAAAAGUCAAGGUAUCACCAACAAUUCUCCAGAGAAAACUUGUCCCUCAGUUUUUCAAUUCUAAUGAUUAAACACACUUCAGCUGGGUGGAUUAAAGGUCAGAGAACUAGUCUGAUCCCUCUUUACCAGUCCUGCAUAGGUGUCAUAGCCCAUCAUUAUAGCACCUAUUGUUUUCUUCUCAGUCUUUAUGGCUUCAGCCAAAACUAAAACAGAAAGAGCCCCAACAGAACAUCCUGUUUACACAGAAUGCUGCUCUCUAAUUUAGGAAAUAGCUAGUUUGUUUGUUAAAAAAUUCUCACAAGGACCAUUCCUUGAUCUUAAGGGACCAUUUUCCCUGUUUACUUUCACCACUAGCCUUAUCCCCCCUCCCUCCAGCCCAGCUUAGAUUUCAUGGUCCCUACUUUUGGUAAUACUCUUGCCUUAAUCAUACCAUAAAUCCCUUUGUCUCCUUAUAUUUUCCUCACAUUAACCUGGGAAAGCCUCAGUCCUGGAUGAACUCAACAGCUCACAUCUUCCAUACCUGCACCCAGGCAGUUGUGUACCACAAUUUAGAAAUGCAAAAGGGCAAGUUGAUAUGAUUAUGCUUUUAAGGUCAUUAGCUCUGAGCCCUCAACACUGCCAACAAUUCUGUUACAGUUCUUUGGCCAGCUGGCUCUCUUGCUCUCUUCAAGGGCCAUUUCAAGUCUUCUCCACUCUACUCAACCUCUAAUCCCCUACCUUGCUGCUCACUCUCAGAAAAAACCUCAUCUUUUAUUUCUUGGAGAAUAUAGAAGUCAUUAUAUUGUAACACCUUCUCCCUAGCAGAUUUACCACCCAGCCGACAUCUGCACCAUCCUAUUCUCUUUUCCUAUUAGAGAUGUUCUUCCUUUGGUCCAAGACCAAUGCCUCAGUUUUUUUCUUUGCAUCUCCUCCUCUUCCACCUUCUUAGGAACCAAACACCAUUAAUUAUCCCUUCUCCAAUCUGGAUUCCUGUCAGUAUCUAAACAUAUUAAAGGAUCCCCUAGCUUAACAAACCUGUAAUAUCUUACACUUAUAAAGUAGUUACUGUGUACCUCUAUUGUCCUAAAUCUUGAUAUAUUCAACUUGUUUAAUCAUCAUAUUACUCUAUGAAGUGGGCUGUACUUCUUUUUUUUUUUAAAUGGCUACAUUCACUGAAUAAGUAGGUUCCCCAGCCAGGGUUUGAAUCCAAGCCGCAACUGUGACAUAUAGCGCAGCUGCAGCAAUGCUGGAUACUUUAACCCACUGUGCUAGGCCAGGGAU